AGAUUGAACGCUGGCGGCAGGCCUAACACAUGCAAGUCGAGCGGUAGAGAGGUGCUUGCACCUCUUGAGAGCGGCGGACGGGUGAGUAAAGCCUAGGAAUCUGCCUGGUAGUGGGGGAUAACGCUCGGAAACGGACGCUAAUACCGCAUACGUCCUACGGGAGAAAGCAGGGGGACCUUCGGGCCUUGCGCUAUCAGAUGAGCCUAGGUCGGAUUAGCUAGUUGGUGAGGUAAUGGCUCACCAAGGCGACGAUCCGUAACUGGUCUGAGAGGAUGAUCAGUCACACUGGAACUGAGACACGGUCCAGACUCCGUACGGGAGGCAGCAGGUGGGAAUAGUGGACAGUGGGCGAAAGCCGUAGAUCCAGCCAUGCCGUCGUGGUGUGAAGAAGGUUCUU
rnacentral:rRNA from 1 species